UGUGUUCCGCGAGAUCCGUCUCCGUUUACGUGAUCCGUCUCCGUUUCCGUGUCAGUGGCAAAUGUAAAUGCUAAAACAUGAACUCCUAUCACAUUUCAAACGGUAACCGGAAAUUCAAAUAUCGUGAGUGUUCUGUUCUUUUUAUGUGUCCGAAGUACACAGGUUGGGACAAAAAGUUCAAAUUGAAUUCCCGGUUCCCGUUUGAAAACGUGUUUGUUUUUGUUAUUGAAGGAAAUGGAAGGUGUUGCAAGUCAAUAAGAGCCACUUUGCCUUACUGAAUAAAUAUAUAAUAUUGAACUCCCACAACUUUCAUAAGUUCAAUCUCAAACUACAAAGCAACAAAACAAUAAACAAAAACAUUUGGUUUGGAAUAUUUACUGCGCUCUGGUGACAACUUUAGAAAUCAAUACAUUCGCCAUCGGACAUCGCAAUUGUGGACAGGGCAGUUUUCGGUGAGACAAUGUGACGUCACUCACAUUCGGAUAAGGACACGGACCACGCACAGCACAGCAAAAGAGGCAUGAACGGUACGACUGGGGGCUGAAGUUUACCGACGUUGAGCCGGUACGCUCGGUGGUUCCUGCUGGGGUCGAUCAGGGCUUCGAACUCCGUGAAGAGCUUCCGGAACUUUGAAGGCAGCUUCUCCCAAGUCAGGGAGAGACGGCUGAUCGCCAUGUUGCUGAGUCCCAUGACGAUGGCGAAGAAAGCAUUCAGGUUCUGGAACUCCUUGCAGCUGAAAUUUGUGUCACAAGGUUCAAGCAUUAUCUGGUUCAGUUAGAGUUUAGGGUUGCUUCAUUCUUUGUACAGAAUAACUCAGUAAAUGACAAUUUACAGUUGUUUAGGAAUGAGUACUAGCAUAUAAUAUUAUAACUAUCAAAAUUCACAAUAAUCUUUGAGAAUUUCAAAUUCUGAAAAGCAAUCUUAGUCAUGUAGUUUAAAUAGUUUCCCAUGAGUACUUUAGCAACAAAUAUUUUUGUUCUAGUUGCUAGUACCUUCAUAUGCAUAUCUACACUAUUACAGUAUAGAUAUAUUGGUACGAAAAUUAAGAACUUUAAAUGCAUUUUGGUUUGCAGGAAUUUUUUUAGUUACGAUUAUAAAUAAGUUUUGUAUAGCUAUUGAUUAAAUGUUGUAAGAGAUAAAGAAUUAAUUAAUAUACACAGUGUUUAACAUUGAUAAAAUAAAUUCAAUAGUUUCGUUAAAUUGCACUGGAAAAUGAAAGCUAAUCAUAGUUCUGUUGUAAUAAAAUCAUAGUUUGUCACUUUGUUCCUCAUUUUUAAAGUAGGAUUUUGAUUUUCAGAACUGUUAUUAUUUCAAUAAAAAUGCACUGCAUAAUUUGUUGAUUACUCUAAGGCAUUUGUGCUUUGCAAAAAUUUUAUGCGGUAAAAUUAUUUUUUUUGUCGUCUACCAAAAAUCCUUAUAAUAAAUAAUUCUAUUAAAGUCCUGACUUAUUACUUAAAAGUAACAACAUUUCUGGAGACUUUUGCUGUGAUUAUUUACAACAAAGUACUGAAUCGGUUUUGUAUUUAUUAUCAAAUCUGUCCGAGAAACGAACGGGUAGUUGGAAUGGUAUCUGUUUUAAUCCACAUCGCCCUCCGCUGUUUGUCGGAGCGCGCGCUGCACUCACUAAGCGGCCAGCUUGAUCAUCUUGCGCAAGAUCUGCACCCGCUUGCUCAGGCUCUGGGUGAGGCAUAUCUCGGUGACGACCCAGAACUGCAGCUCGUUGAAGCGGCGGAGGAAGACGUCAAGGUUGGCGGUCGUCUGGCCGAAAUGGUAGCGGCCGAACGUGUGGUAGAUCAGCUCGUACUGUCAACACCCAGCUGCGGUUCGUCACUACCAAAACACACAGCUCGAAAACACUUGACAGGUGCAGCAACUACGCGUGUCAGGGUUCCGUCGACAGAGAAAAUCAAUGGAAUUGAAAAUGUUGCUUCAUUACAUGUAAAACACAAAGUAAUGCACCAUAUCUUAGUUACUAGACAGUAUCAGUAAUUUUUCAUAGUAUUGUCUUCUAAUGUCUAAAAACCGUUAGUAUUUUGAUCAUAAAUACGUGUGGCCUUAUUAAUCUGUAUCACUAAGAUUAAUUACAUGCAAGGGACAUGAUUACAAACCACUAAGUAUUAACAUGAAAUACAAUCAAAUUUAUAUGAAGUCUAUUCCCUGAUUGUGCCAAUGUGUCUUUUCAAAGUUUGAUCAAAAAUAUAUAUAUUUGUUUUCUUUAUCAGACUGACAUAGUUGAGUUUUGUACAUAGUGUUAAUGGAAAUGGCAACAGUUCAAACUUAUUAUUUUGCAGGAAAACAUUUUAUAGUCAAUUAAUUGUGCAUGUUAUGUAUGUUGAAAUUUCUUUUUAUUAUAAUAAUGUGGAUAUCUGUUAUGUUGCCAGAUAGACUGAUAAGUCAGGAAAAACUCAGAGAAAUCAGCUGAAGUAAGUGUAUGGGAACACUACAUGUACUUAUAUACACUGCAAUUCACUUUUAAUUGAAGAUUUGAACCAUCAUAUGCCUAGCAACUUGGGUUCUUGUAUGAUUCAUUGAAACUAUGAGAUUAUCAUGUACAUAAAUAAGUUUCUGUUUCUGCAGUUAUUUCUGAAACCAACAAAAUGAAUAGCAACCAUAAUCAGUGGUUGCUAAAUAAUUUUUUUUAAAAUUUUCAAUGACUAGUUCAAGUAACGUAACAAACAUCUUUCUAAAAUUGUCACGUGGGUGACAGUGUCACAAAGCGUUCAAGUUACAUUACAGGCAUUUUCAGACACAAAAAUUUUCUUCGAGAUGAAAAUUAAAUUGCGUGAGAACACUUCAAAUAUUAAUUAAAACAUUAUCUAUCUUUACGGGCUGGAAAAAAUUAGCACAUAUUACUUUAUAAAUUAGUAACUACAGUAGAACCCUGUUAUAAUGUUUUUCAAGGGAGCACACGAAAAAAACAUUAUAAGCAGGAAAACGUUAUAAGCAGGAAAUCUCAAUUUAGCACUUAACAAUGUUCCAGCUUUGUACCAAUGGACUCACCAAGCUAUGUAAACAACUUUAAUGUUAAAACCAAAGAUAGUAUACUUGAUACAUGAAUUUUCUGAAACAAGCCAACAAUUUUUCAACUUCGUCUUGUUCCCUGGUUAAAUUUUGUUUGUCUUUAAAGAUACACUGCCACAUUUUUUGUAAAAUUGUCUCACGAUUCAUGAUGACAACAUUAAGAGUGAGAACGUCUACUCUUUCACCACCUGAAAAUGUUUAAUUUUGGGAUUCCUACGUAUGAAUGAAAAAAAAAAAAAUAUUUGUAAGCAAUAGAAAACACUUUUAGUUAUGCCCUCGCUCAAUGGUUGGCAACUUAAAUAUCGUAGGACUAUGUACGUGCAUCUGAAUACCCACUGGAAUGGCAAGGAAGAGAAGAGUUGACUAAUGGUGCCAACUGACACACAACUAUGAACAUUGUGUACCUUCAGUAUAUUGCAUAAAAUUGUAUUUUAACAAACUUCAUGUAUUGUAUGGCAGUGAUUGUAAACAUAAACAUACAUAAAGGAAACUUUUUAUCGUAAGUGUUGGAAUAAUUUGGUUUUAAAACAUUUUUUCCCCAUUUAUUGAAUGUUAGAAAGCAAACAUUAUAAGCAGGAAAUUACACUAUUUAUGAACGUUAUAUGCAGGAAAUAAAUACAUUGUCCUUAUGGGAGAAAUAAUGGGACUUUAAAAAUAUGACACUAUAAGCAGGAAAACAUUAUAUGCAGGAACAUUAUAACAGGGUUCUACUGUAUUUGUAUGAAAUUAGCAUUUUUAAUGCAUCUUACUUAAAACAAUAAUAUUUACAUUCUAAAUGUUUGUAAACUGAUAAUAUAUAUACAUACAUACAUACACACAAAUACAUACAUACACACACACAAAUACAUACAUACAAAUACCUACAAAUAACUCUCUACUCUACAAAUAACCCUCUAUUUCAGUUUGGAUUUUUUUUUUUUUUCAUAACUUGGCAUCAUCCCGGGCUACGCCCUUCUGAGCCCGAACGGCCACCACCUCCCUCCUCACCCGCUGCAGGGCCCUUCCUUCCACCACCACCCCCUGUGACCCCGGCGUUUCAAACCGCCCGGAAAAGUGUACGUAUGUGUGCGUGUGUCGGCCCACGCCCACCGGUGUGACGUCAGUGCUUCGCUCCCUUAUAGAUGCUAGCCUGAUUAAUUGUAACUUGCUUAUCUUCCCUACAGUGUUUUAUGUUCUAGCAGACAGGAGUAAUCGCUUCAAGACAGGCUUUUCUGUAAGGUGUUAACAUAAAUAAUAUUCCGUGGCCGGAACGAUGCCGAGCGAGGACGAACAUUCCCGAGGCAGACUAUAUACGGAAGGGAGAAUGGGGAAAGGGGCACUGUCCCUGGAUCCACCGCCGGCCCGAGCCCGCACCUCGAUGAACGCCAGGGCGUUGGGGUCCUCAAACACCGGCUGCCGUAUGGUGAGCACCCAGCAGUGGAUGAACUGCACCACUCUCCUCUUGCAGGCCAGCAGGAACUCGCAGUCUUGGCUGGGCGAGUCGAUGCGGUAGGUGAUGGCGACCGUCAAGGAAAUAAAAAACUGUCCACUGCAAAAACACUGGGACCCAGCAAACCUCCUGCCACUUCUCUUAACACAGCUUGUUUAUUUUAUUAAUUGGAAAUACAAUCAUGAAAGCACAAGUAACUGAAGACUUUGGGUGUUAAUAGUGAUAAUCUUUUAAAAAAGUAAAAUUCCAGUUUCAAAUAUUGAUUGUGAAAUUGGAACAUUAUCUUAUGGUCUAUUUUCUGAAGUUAAAUUUAGGGUACAAAAAUUUUUUGGGAAAAUACAAAGAAAAAGCUUUAUAAAAUUUUUUUGUUCUGGCCGAUGUCCUAUACCAAUAAAAAAUAAUGUUGGCUAUCAUUAUUUACAUUUAAGGUAGACAAUUACAGUUCCAUAUAAAAAAAAUCCUGCCAAAAUAAAAAACUGUUUUGUGGAUGGGUCUUAAUAUGCCUAUCUUUACUAACAAAGGCUUUCAAAUCUAAUAUUAUAUACUUGACAUAUUGUACUUGAUUAGUAAUAUCAUUAUAGGAGAAAAAUUAUUCAUCUCAAAUUACCUUGUGAAAUUUUAUGCCUCUCGUGGUAAUUGCAGUACUAAAUGUCAGCACGCAUGUUUCAUCCCUUACUUGCACAUUUUUAAAAAGAUCAAAAUACGAACUUUUUUAUUAAAUUCUUCAAAUUAUUCAUUAUGGAAUGCUUUCCUUGGAUUCUGAUCAUCUUCAAGUUACAGUCGGCAUCUUUAGUUUGGUAUUUUGCGGUUCGGCACAUACUGUAACCCAGCACUAAUCUAUCUGCUUCCAUUAAAUAUUUUUGAGUAAAUUUCGACAUUUGUUGUUUCUGACUGUCGGGUAGCAUUACUGCAAUGCCCAAGGUUUUAGUUAACUUAAUGUUUAUUAUGUUUGAAGCAGCUCAUUACAACUUGUAUUAAAUAUCACUGUACUGCAUUUUUCUUUUUCUUCGGUGUUCCGGUAAAACUACAUUAAUGUUCAAUAAUCCAGCAAAAUUCAAAUCAGAUAUGCCUGUGUUCCAGAAAAUCAAAGAUCUUUUACUGUACCAUUAUGGAAUAAUGUGGCAUUGUAGAAUUUUAAAUCUUGCUUCAGCUGAUGUGACAUACCAAUAGGUCACGUAUGUGAAUGAUUUAUUUACCUCUCAUUCCUUUGAGCCAGUUGAUGUUGCAAUAUAUAUUGUCAGCCUAUUUAUACUGAUGGUAGAUUACUAAAGCCAGUCUCGAACUAUACUAGUUUGAAUAGAUAACUCAGACAUACAGAACCAUGAGUAUCUCUAAAAUCGAGGGUUGACUUUAUUGUAGUCCUCCCAUUUUUAUUUGUUAUUGGUAUAUAUCGCAGCGUGGGCUAACCAAGACCAUCUAGAGAAACCAAGGACCCAGGGACAAGUAAGUAGUUUUGUCGGGCUCCCUCCCUAUUAUCUAAUGAAAUCAAAUCCCACAUUUAAAAAAAUUGGUUGUCUGUAAAGUCGAUUUACGAACAAUAGUUUAACGUGACAACAUCGUAACAAAACAUUGAUGAAAUUAUUGCAUACUUUUAUGAAUAAAAUUGAAUCAUUUUUAUUUAAUUAUCACUAUUUUGUAUGGAUACAAAGAAGGAGUAAAAUGAAAUCUAAAAUUUAAUUGAUAAAUUUAAUUUUAUUUGCACUCAUUAAUUCAAAUAUGUUUAUUACUUUAACGAAGAGAUUAUUUUAACUAUAACUUUUAUACAUGUUUGCUAUUUAACUUCUUCCAAUCUGUGUUAUUCUGUUAAGGAUAGGACAAUGAUAGGAAAAGUAGGAAACGAAUGGGAGUGUUUCAAGUUUAAUGUGCCUCGAAAAAGUCAAAUCGAUGGUUGUUCCAAUCGAGUGGAAUAGAGAUAGAUGCGGCGCAAGCGUACAAUGAGCGUAACGGGACACUUUUUCGUGCGUGCAGCCAGCGUUCAUCGAUUUAUUAGACGUCACGUCAAAAUAUUUUUAAUGUUCUAAAUGUUACCGUGAUUAUAAUUGCAAACAUGAUCUGCAUGUAUCAUAUAAUUUAUAAGGUUUCUUAUGAAAUAUAUUAACAAUAUACUUGUAAUUUUUGUUCUAUCAGGGUGAACCCCAACAUUAAAAAAAUCUCGAAACUCAACUAGACAACCCUCCACCCCCCAAAUCAUAACUCAUAUUCCCCCUCCCCGCUUUUGACAACCAUAAGGAUGAGGAGACAAAUAAAUUGGCCAUCAAAUUCCAAUACCUAGACUCCUGGCUCAAUAUGCAUUCUCACUGCUACAUCAUUUCUUGGUGUUGUCAGAUAUAUGCAACGAUGGCAUAAGCAUGGCAGAUUGCUAUGAACAAAGGAAUGAAUCAGAACUUCAUGUAUCAUCUUCUAGGCCAUUUCAGAUGGAUGAGGAGUGUGGUGAUGCGGAUGAAGAAGCAGUGUUGUUCCUAUCUAUGAAUGAGGUGAUGUGGGCGAACAACGCUCCUUUCUUCUUCCCCUGUAACCCCAUUUAAAUUUAAAAAAAUAAUAAUAACAAGGAAAAAAUAACAGUCUUAAGUCUGCACCUUGCAUUUCAAGUCAGUUCAAUUUAUUUUUUGUAAAAAUGUACAAGAAUUAUUUUAAAUUUUUUACUGUACUUAUCAUGUGUAUUUUUUUUAAAAAUUAGAUCUUCAUUAAAUCUGAUGAAACCAUAGUUCUUAUAAUCACAUUUCAAUAUGUUAGAAAUGCAUUGAAUCAGUUUUCAAGGAGGGUAUUAUUUCCAAUACAUUGUUACAUUCCAGGUUGGCCCUGCAAGGCAACCAUGAAUAAUAAUUUCCAGAUCCGUUUGAAAAUUUAAUGUUGAUAAUAUGCGAUGACUUUGAAGAUUAUUUUCUGAGGUUUGUCUUUUCAUCAAAAUUAGGAUUAACUUUUUUUGCUAAAUAUAAAAGUUCUGACCAAACAAAUAACAAUAAAAUAAUUUAAAUAAAAAAAUAACCUUUAUUUAAACUCCAACCUAAAUGAAUAAUUAUUAAUAAAGAUAUUUUAGCAUAAGCAAAUAUGCAUAAUAAAUGAAACAUAAUUACGGAACCCUUAAGGAAAACAUACGCAACAUAACGCCUUCUCAGCUAAAGUGUUAUUACAUAUUAGCAGGAGGGCAAGAGUCAUGCUAUGUUACAACUUCGAAUUCCCCCAUUAAACUGAGAAGUAUUCCUUCCAUGUCGCCCGAAACCCCUCUGGUCAUCCGCACAACCCCAAAAUUUUGAGCAGUGACAGAACGCAAGAGGAAAUGUGAGUGUCCAAAGUCAAGGGCGUCGCUGGCCAGCCGAUGACCUGGAGGGUGGGGGGGCAAGUUGUGGGAAAAGUAUGUAUUUUUUUUUGCAUUUGGCUACAUCGAAUCUCUAGGGCUCUAGGAGGGGGGGGGCGACUGCCCCCCCUACCCCACCCUGGCGACGCCCUUGUCCAAAGGGUCGUGGAACUGUUGAGCACGUUCUCUACUCGGUAAUAACGUGAGCUCGACCACGUCAGCAGCCGCGGCUCGGGAGCAAGGGCCGCCUCGGGAAAGGAUAUUGCCUGGCGAGCUCGGAGACCAGCUGGUGCGUCGGCAUGAACACGAUGUGCGUGAGGAGGAAGUCCUCGAGGAAGAGGUCGCUGGCCAGGUAGGUGCCGCCCACCCCGCCUCCGCCCCGCCCGUCCAGCCUCGUCUCCAGCAGGUGCUCCAGCAUCUUCUGGGGCGUCCCGGCCAUCACGGUGUACCUGCGACAAGCGGAGGGGGCGACGCGUGCGGUACGGCCGGUGACGUAGCCAGGAUUUGUGUAUGGGGGGGGGGGGGUGUUAAGUAGCAUGCCCCCCCCCAUCUAAAGCAGGGGGGGGGGAUCCGGGGGUCCUCCCCCAGGAAAAUUUGGAUUUUUAAGGUGUGAAAUAGUGCUAUUUUAGCUAGUUUUCGGUUCUUAAAUUUAAAUAUUGUAAUGGUAAAUUUUUUUAUUAAUUUUAAUAUGAAAUUUGUUUGAGUGACGAAUAAGAAAUUAAUUAAAGAUUUGGUUGCUAAGGGGGGGGGGGGGGGGUGUUUGAAACCCUAAACCCCCUCCCCAGCUACGCCCCUGCUCUCAGUAUUAUACUUUAAAUAGCCAUGUCGAUGGAAAAGUCAUUGAAUAUCAAUGGAAGAAUAUAUAGAAUGCAGGAAAAUGCCUGGGAUUUGAUUUCAAGGGAAUGCUAUAAAAAAAUUGAGUAGUAUUUUUUUUUUUUCCUGAAAUAAUCCAUAAUUUUUUUUUUGCCCUCAGAAGCAAAACUGCAUCAUCAAAUUAUGAAAAUCUUCAAAUUUUUUUUCUUU